ACACGUAGGGGGCGAGCGUUGUUCGGAAUCAUUGGGCGUAAAGGGCGCGCAGGCGGCGAGGCAAGUCCGGUGUGAAAGUGCUCGGCUCAACCGAGUGAUGCGCUGGAAACUGCCCUGCUUGAGUACAGGAGGGGACGUCGGAAUUCCAGGUGUAGGGGUGAAAUCUGUAGAUAUCUGGAAGAACACCGGUGGCGAAGGCGGACGUCUGGCCAUGUACUGACGCUGAGGCGCGAAGGUGCGGGGAGCGAACAGGUUUAGAUACCCUGGUAGUCCGCACAGUAAACGAUGUGCACCAGGUGGCGGGGGGUAGCCCUCGGUACCGAAGCCAACGCAUUAAGUGCACCGCCUGGGGAGUAUGCUCGCAAGGGUGAAACUCAAAGGAAUCGACGGGG
rnacentral:rRNA from 1 species